GGGGCGGUAGCUCAGCAGGUCAGAGCAGCGGACUCAUAAUCUGCCGGUCGUGGGUUCGAGCCCCACCCGCCCCACCU
rnacentral:tRNA from 1 species